AUUCGAAUGGCUUGCUUCUGUAAUGUGAAUAUUCUCUUCAUCCCUGUGAUAGUUGAGUUCCUCCAUACUGUGAUUCAUAUCACACAAAUGGUUCAAAAAGUCCAUGAUAGGCAGUGCACAAGAGGUCUUAGGAGCACUAAAGGCCAAAGUAGUACAACAAACCCACACACGUUACAGGAACUCAAGGAUAAUAUCCAUGAGUCAGUUCAUUCACUUUCUCAAAGAGAAGUACAUUGUGUGACAAAUAAUUUCUUCAGUAGAUGUGAGGAAUGUGUGGAAAAAAAAUGGGAUGUACUUCCAGCAUCUCAGUGCAUGAUAUAGACAGAAGAUAGGAAUGAAGUGCCAACCUAUUCUAAACUGGAAGUGCAGUCUGUAGCAAAUUAUGUGGAGAGUUUGCGUAGCAACAGUAGUAAUACAAGGUGUCCAACAAAGGACUUGCUAACAUUAGAAUUAAAUGGCAUGAAAAUAAUAGAACAGACAUUAUGUUUAUUGUGAAAGCAGUAAGAACUUUAUACACAAGCUUUGAAAUAAUAGUUACAAAACAUGGAACUGUCAUAGCAAAACAAUGUACUUAUAAAUAAUACUCCAAAGUUCAGAGCAAUCAGUUAAUCAACUUCAAAUGGAGAGGCAGCAUGUAAAUGUUGGGCCGGUGGCAGCUGUAGUUACUCCUGAAGAUAUCACCAUAGUUUAUGAAAGAAUACAGCAGAAUAUGAGGAAAUUUGCCCAAACAAUUUCUAUAGAGGCUGGUUUGAAGUGUUCAAGCAUGCAUACACUACUGAGAAAUGGUCCACAUAUGUUCCUAUUCAAAAUCCAAAGCCACCGGGUCAUAUCUGUAACCACUAUGAAAUAAAGGGCUUACUGCAGACCAAAUUCUCACAAUAAGUGAAGGAUUUGGUGCUGGCUGCAUCUGGUUUACUGGUUAGGGAUACACCCAUCUGAAUGUGUUGGAGAAUAAGAAAACUGGCAAUUUUGGGGUACCAAAAAGCCCCUUUUGUAUGAAGAAAAACCAUUGCAUUCUUCUAAAGCUAUUGUUUAGGCUUGUGAUAUGCAGCAGGCAUACAAUGAGCCCUUACGUCAUGCAAGAAUCAGUAGCUAGUAAACAUUAUAAUUUUUGAAAAGUUUGUCAUCAAACAAUAAGCAUUAGAGCAUCAAUGUGCACUGAGUGAUUCAUGCAAAAUGGGGCCUGACCACA